AGGGUGAAUCCGGCUCCCCUGGCGAGAACGGCUCCCCCGGCCCCAUGGGUCCCCGUGGGCUGCCUGGAGAGAGAGGACGUCCCGGCCCCUCCGGUGCCGCCGGCGCUCGUGGCAACGAUGGUCUCCCCGGUCCUGCCGGACCCCC